UACUAAAUUCUGAUAUCAAUUCUUCCUCCACACUACUAGAAGAUAUGAAAGAUAUGUAGUACACUAUAGAACAGUGAGUACCUACUUUCUGAAGUUAUCCGCAAGAUGUCGUAGGUAAUAAGUAUGGUGGCAAUUCAAAAACCAAUCAUUGACCACUUUGAUACAUCUAGAUUGACGGUCAGAGUAAAAGGUGUAUUGCUUGAUCAAUGAGCCAU
rnacentral:lncRNA from 1 species